UACGUAGGGUGCGAGCGUUGUCCGGAAUUAUUGGGCGUAAAGAGCUCGUAGGCGGCUUGUCGCGUCGGAUGUGAAAGCCCGGGGCUUAACUCCGGGCCUGCAUUCGAUACGGGCAGGCUAGAGUUCGGUAGGGGAGAUCGGAAUUCCUGGUGUAGCGGUGAAAUGCGCAGAUAUCAGGAGGAACACCGGUGGCGAAGGCGGAUCUCUGGGCCGAUACUGACACUGAGAGACGAAAGCUAGGGGAGCAAAUGGG
rnacentral:rRNA from 1 species